GCUGUAUGUCAUAAUGAACAUUUCCGAUACAAUGAUGUAAAAAAGGGACGAAAGAUACCAGAAGGAUAGUCAAACUCAUAAAUCUGAAUUAUUUUGUUUUAAAAUUUAAAUGUGGUUACCUUUUUUUUCUCCAACAAAAAUACACGUACUAUUCUCGAUAUAAUACGGUGAGAAAAUGUCGACAAGACAAAAUUAUGAUCGUAACGUCAGUGGCGGAUCCAGAAAUUUUCAAAAGAGUGGGCCCACUGGCUGACUAAGAGGGGGCCCGAUUUCGUCACGCCUCAGUGAUUCCCUAUAUAAGCAACCAAUUUUUUUUCUCAAAAAAGGGGGGCCGGGCCCCACUUUAAUCCGCCUCUGAACGACGUCACUUCAGUAUGUACUGUUGUAUUUACAUUAGCAUAUUUCAUUUCCAUAGAGAUUAUUGGAUCCCGAUACUCAUGUCAAAUCUUUGUUCAAGAUUUACAUUGAUAUUAUAUGGCCCUAAUUGCAAAGUCGUUGUUUAUUGGAUGUUGAAUAGUUUAAAUGAGAAAAAGAAAAAAAAGAUAUUCCUAACUAAUCAGUCGAAAACAAAAUGACAUCGCCAUUGCAAUUUUCUAAACACAACAAAAGAUACAAAACUCAACGUCUAAGCAACACGAACUGGAGUAGAACUCGAACUUGAGUAUAACUCGCGUGCUAAACGGGGG
rnacentral:lncRNA from 1 species